rnacentral:rRNA from 1 species
AACGAACGCUGGCGGCAGGCCUAACACAUGCAAGUCGAACGCCGUAGCAAUACGGAGUGGCAGACGGGUGAGUAACGCGUGGGAACAUACCCCUCGGUUCGGAAUAACUCAGGGAAACUUGAGCUAAUACCGGAUACGUCCGAUGUUUUAAUCGACCUUGGAGAAAGAUUUAUCGCCGGAGGAUUGGCCCGCGUCUGAUUAGCUUGUUGGUGAGGUAAUGGCUCACCAAGGCGACGAUCAGUAGCUGGUCUGAGAGGAUGAUCAGCCACAUUGGGACUGAGACACGGCCCAAACUCCUACGGGAGGCAGCAGUGGGGAAUAUUGGACAAUGGGCGAAAGCCUGAUCCAGCCAUGCCGCGUGAGUGAUGAAGGCCUUAGGGUUGUAAAGCUCUUUACCCGGGAAGAUAAUGACGGUACCGGGAGAAUAAGCCCCGGCUAACUUCGUGCCAGCAGCCGC